rnacentral:rRNA from 1 species
UACGUAGGGUGCAAGCGUUAAUCGGAAUUACUGGGCGUAAAGCGUGCGCAGGCGGUCUUGCAAGACAGAUGCGAAAUCCCCGGGCUUAACCUGGGAACUGCAUUUGUGACUGCAAGGCUGGAGUGCGGCAGAGGGGGAUGGAAUUCCGCGUGUAGCAGUGAAAUGCGUAGAUAUGCGGAGGAACACCGAUGGCGAAGGCAAUCCCCUGGGCCUGCACUGACGCUCAUGCACGAAAGCGUGGGGAGCAAACAGG